rnacentral:rRNA from 1 species
ACUCAAAUGAAUAGACGGGGGCCCGCACAAGCGGUGGAGCAUGUGGUUCAAUUCGACGCAACGCGAAGAACCUUACCUGGGCUCGAACGGCUUCUCAACGCCGGUAGAAAUAUCGGUACCCCGCAAGGGGGUGGAGUCGAGGUGCUGCAUGGCUGUCGUCAGCUCGUGUCGUGAGAUGUUGGGUUAAGUCCCGCAACGAGCGCAACCCUUGUCCUGUGUUGCCAUACCGAAAGGUGGAACUCGCAGGAGACCGCCAGCGAUAAGCUGGAGGAAGGUGGGGAUGACGUCAAGUCCUCAUGGCCUUUAUGUCCAGGGCUACACACGUGCUACAAUGGACGGUACAAAGGGUCGCUAACCCGCGAGGGGGAGCCAAUCCCAAAAAACCGUUCUCAGUUCGGAUUGCAGGCUGCAACCCGCCUGCAUGAAGCUGGAAUCGCUAGUAAUGGCAGAUCAGCACGCUGCCGUGAAUACGUUCCCGGGCCUUGUACACACCGCCCGU